UACGUAGGUGGCAAGCGUUGUCCGGAUUUACUGGGCGUAAAGGGCGUGCAGGCGGUCUGUUAAGUUCAGGGUGAAAGCUCCCGGCUCAACUGGGAGAGGUCCUUGGAUACUGGCAGACUUGAGGGAGGUAGAGGAGAGUGGAAUUCCCGGUGUAGUGGUGAUAUGCGUAGAUAUCUGGAAGAACACCAGUGGCGAAGGCGGUCAACUGGCCCGAAACUGACGCUGAGGCACGAAAGCGUGGGGAGCGAACAGG
rnacentral:rRNA from 1 species